GGUUGACCUCGGAUCAGGUAGGGAUACCCGCUGAACUUAAGCAUAUCAAUAAGCGGAGGAAAAGAAACCAACUGGGAUUGCCUCAGUAACGGCGAGUGAAGCGGCAACAGCUCAAAUUUGAAAUCUGGCUCCGUGCGGGGUCCGAGUUGUAAUUUGUAGAGGGUGUUUCGGGUGCGGUGCCGGCCUAAGUUCCUUGGAACAGGACGUCAUAGAGGGUGAGAAUCCCGUCUGCGCGCUGGCUACCAACCCCGGAUGAAACCCCUUCGACGAGUCGAGUUGUUUGGGAAUGCAGCUCAAAAUGGGUGGUAAAUUUCAUCUAAAGCUAAAUACCGGCCAGAGACCGAUAGCGCACAAGUAGAGUGAUCGAAAGAUGAAAAGCACUUUGGAAAGAGAGUUAAAAAGUACGUGAAAUUGUUGAAAGGGAAGCGCUGGCGACCAGACCUGCCCCCGGGUGAUCAUCCGUGAUUCGUCGCGGUGCACUCGCCCGGACGCAGGCCAGCAUCGGUUUGGGCGGCGGGACAAAGUGCCCGGGAAUGUAUCUUCCUCCGGGGAGCCUUAUAGCCCGGGUUGCCAUGCCGCCCGCCCGGACCGAGGACCGCGCUUCGGCUAGGAUGCUGGCGUAAUGGUCGUCAGCGACCCGUCUUGAAACACGGACCAAGGAGUCUACCAUUUAUGCGAGUGUUUGGGUGUCAAACCCGGGCGCGGAAUGAAAGUGAACGGAGGUGAGACCCCGUCAGGGCGCAUCAUCGACCGAUCCAGAUGUCUUCGGAUGGAUUGAGUACGAGCAUAGCUGGUGGGACCCGAAAGAUGAUGAACUAUGCCUGAAUAGGGUGAAGCCAGAGGAAACUCUGGUGGAGGCUCGCAGCGGUUCUGACGUGCAAAUCGAUCGUCGAAAUUGGGUAUAGGGGCGAAAGACCAAUCGA
rnacentral:rRNA from 1 species